rnacentral:rRNA from 1 species
UGGGGAAUAUUGCACAAUGGGCGAAAGCCUGAUGCAGCGACGCCGCGUGAGGGAUGAAGGCCUUCGGGUUGUAAACCUCUUUCAGCAGGGAAGAAGCGCAAGUGACGGUACCUGCAGAAGAAGCGCCGGCUAACUACGUGCCAGCAGCCGCGGUAAUACGUAGGGCGCAAGCGUUGUCCGGAAUUAUUGGGCGUAAAGAGCUCGUAGGCGGUUUGUCGCGUCUGGUGUGAAAACUCGAGGCUCAACCUCGAGCUUGCAUCGGGUACGGGCAGACUAGAGUGCGGUAGGGGAGACUGGAAUUCCUGGUGUAGCGGUGGAAUGCGCAGAUAUCAGGAGGAACACCGAUGGCGAAGGCAGGUCUCUGGGCCGCAACUGACGCUGAGGAGCGAAAGCAUGGGGAGCGAACAGG